rfam:Conidiobolus coronatus NRRL 28638 unplaced genomic scaffold CONCOscaffold_87, whole genome shotgun sequence.
GGCAACUUGGCCGAGAGGUCUAAGGCGUCAGGUUUAGGCCCUGAUCUGGAAACAGGCGUGGGUUCGAACCCCACAGUUGUCA